GGGAGUAUUCCAGAGUAUCGAUUUUCCACAGGGAACGUGAGUGUACUAAUUAAGAAUCAAGAUCGCCCAAGGAUAACUAUAUAAGUAUUUUUUUUGGUGGGAAGAGAGGAAGUUUCCUGAGAGUUCUCUAGUUGAUCUAAGAAUCAAGAUUUAAUUCAAGAUUAUCUAUAUCGGGACAUCAGAGCACUAACCACAGAAAGAGAUGAGAAGGGGGCUAGGA
rnacentral:lncRNA from 1 species